CGAACGGUAACAGGAAGCAGCUUGCUGCUUCGCUGACGAGUGGCGGACGGGUGAGUAAUGUCUGGGAAACUGCCUGAUGGAGGGGGAUAACUACUGGAAACGGUGGCUAAUACCGCAUAACGUCGCAAGACCAAAGAGGGGGACCUUCGGGCCUCUUGCCAUCAGAUGUGCCCAGAUGGGAUUAGCUUGUUGGUGAGGUAACGGCUCACCAAGGCGACGAUCCCUAGCUGGUCUGAGAGGAUGACCAGCCACACUGGAACUGAGACACGGUCCAGACUCCUACGGGAGGCAGCAGUGGGGAAUAUUGCACAAUGGGCGCAAGCCUGAUGCAGCCAUGCCGCGUGUAUGAAGAAGGCCUUCGGGUUGUAAAGUACUUUCAGCGGGGAGGAAGGUGUUGUGGUUAAUAACCGCAGCAAUUGACGUUACCCGCAGAAGAAGCACCGGCUAACUCCGUGCCAGCAGCCGCGGUAAUACGGAGGGUGCAAGCGUUAAUCGGAAUUACUGGGCGUAAAGCGCACGCAGGCGGUCUGUCAAGUCGGAUGUGAAAUCCCCGGGCUCAACCUGGGAACUGCAUUCGAAACUGGCAGGCUUGAGUCUUGUAGAGGGGGGUAGAAUUCCAGGUGUAGCGGUGAAAUGCGUAGAGAUCUGGAGGAAUACCGGUGGCGAAGGCGGCCCCCUGGACAAAGACUGACGCUCAGGUGCGAAAGCGUGGGGAGCAAACAGGAUUAGAUACCCUGGUAGUCCACGCCGUAAACGAUGUCUACUUGGAGGUUGUGCCCUUGAGGCGUGGCUUCCGGAGCUAACGCGUUAAGUAGACCGCCUGGGGAGUACGGCCGCAAGGUUAAAACUCAAAUGAAUUGACGGGGGCCCGCACAAGCGGUGGAGCAUGUGGUUUAAUUCGAUGCAACGCGAAGAACCUUACCUGGUCUUGACAUCCACAGAAGAAUCCAGAGAUGGAUUUGUGCCUUCGGGAACUGUGAGACAGGUGCUGCAUGGCUGUCGUCAGCUCGUGUUGUGAAAUGUUGGGUUAAGUCCCGCAACGAGCGCAACCCUUAU
rnacentral:rRNA from 2 species